rnacentral:rRNA from 1 species
CAAUAGCGUAUAUUAAAGUUGUUGCAGUUAAAAAGCUCGUAGUUGGAUUUGUGGCGUACGGUGUGUUCCGGGCACUUGUUGUCUGAGUAACCUGCUGUUGCCAUCCUUGGGUGGAACCUGUGUGGCAUUAGGUUGUCGUGCAGGGGAUGCCCACCAUUUACUGUGAAAAAAUUAGAGUGUUCAAAGCAGGCUUAUGCCGUUGAAUAUAUUAGCAUGGAAUAAUGAGAUAGGACUUUUUUGCUAUUUUGUUGGUUUGCGCAAGAAGGUAAUGAUUAAUAGGGACAGUUGGGGGUAUUCGUAUUCCAUUGUCAGAGGUGAAAUUCUUGGAUUUUUGGAAGACGAACUACUGCGAAAGCAUUUACCAAGGAUGUUUUCAUUAA